CUGCUUCACAGUAACCACAGAGGCCCCUUCCCAUGUACAUAAAGAGAAUCACAGAAGCUUUUGAGAUUAUCCAAUAUUUUAAUGGCUUUAAAGAUUUUCUGAAUCAAAAUGAAAUCCUUCUAUCCCUCAUUCCACCCUUUUUUCUUUAGAUCAAGGUUAAAUCAAUUCUUAUUUUCAAGGUAGAACUGUAAGAGUGUGCAUACUCUUUAAACCCUGAUUAACGACAUUAGAUCAUUCACUAAUUUUGGCUAUAGGCUCUUCUUUCAGUCUUGUACCCAAAAUUCCACAGAUUUCACACUAAGUGACAGACCUUCUUCAGAUGCUCUUCAAACCAGUCAAAUUUGAUGUUCUCAAGAACAUAAAAUCUAACAUUGUAUUGUCUGUCAAUGAAAUACGGAGCGGAAGCUGUAGACUCGAUGAAGACCUGCUGUUUUCCUUCCCACGCUGAACAUCCAGAAGCCAUGUGAUUUGUGUUUGAAAAGCUGAAUGGGAAAAAUGAUGCUGCCUCUCAGCCUGAGACUCUCAGCAGUAGAGAUGGAACAGGAGGGAAAGGGAAAGCAGGAUGACUUCCACCGCGGACUGCACGGCGCUGCCGCCUCCCUUGGUGGUGGACAUCGUCGUUGGCCUGCCGGGGGGGGCGGAGGCGGCAGUGACGGCAGGCCCGCUGGGUGUGGAGACAGGCUGUGAAUGCAUCUGCUGCAGCAGCAGCGACAGAAGCAGCAGCCCCAGCGGGAGCCUGCUCAACAUCCCUCCUCCCAUGUCGGCUCGUGCUCAGCGCUCCGCAGGCUGAAGGACCCUGAGCUCCAGGCGGCGGCGGCAGGCGAAGUAGCCAAGGGAGCGUCUUGUGGGAUCCUACUUCCUUGACCAUUAAUAGAAGCAGGAUCUACCCACAGUAAAAGCAGCUAAGUCCUAACCACUGGAUCUCCAGCAACUUCCCACUUAACAUUUAUCAUGAGCAUUUUCCUGCCAUUAAAAUCUUUUUUGGAACCAUGAUUUAAUUUGUUUUCUAAAACGAUUGCACAUCAAGCUGUGUGUUCAGAGUCUUCUUCUCAUCUUAUUUCAUUUUUAUUCUUCUGGAUUCGUAGAGAAGAAAGAAAAUAUGCCAUGAUGUUAGGCUUGGUUGUUCUAGGUGAUAAGACUUUUGUAUUUUCCACCUUUCCUACACUGAUGAGAUCUUUAGAAGUUGAGCUAGUUGUUUUUGCUUUUGUUUUUGGCCAGUGCAGUUGG
ensembl:lncRNA